rnacentral:rRNA from 1 species
UACGUAGGGGGCGAGCGUUGUCCGGAUUUAUUGGGCGUAAAGGGCGCGUAGGCGGCUUUGCAAGUGACGGGUGAAAGCCCUCGGCUUAACCGAGGAACUGCCUGUCAGACUGUGAGGCUUGAGACCGGGAGAGGUGAGUGGAAUUCCCAGUGUAGCGGUGAAAUGCGUAGAUAUUGGGAGGAACACCAGUGGCGAAGGCGGCUCACUGGACCGGAACUGACGCUAAGGCGCGAAAGCGUGGGAGCAAACAGG